rnacentral:rRNA from 1 species
GGCUUGUUGAUUAUAAUUUCAAGUUAAACCUGCCCACUGAGAGGUUAAAUGGCCGCGGUAUAUUGACCGUGCAAAGGUAGCAUAAUCAUUAGUUUUUUAAUUGAAAGCUUGUAUGAAGGGUUUGAUGAGAAAAUUUCUGUCUCUAGGAAAAUUUAUUAGAAUUUUAUUUUUAAGUUAAAAAGCUUAAAUUUAUAUUGAAGACGAUAAGACCCUAUAGAGUUUUAUAUUGAAAUUUUUACUGAGAUUUAGGAAUUUAUUGUUCAGUUCGGGUUUUUAUUAUUUUGUUGGGGUGACUGGAAAAUUAGAGUAACUUUUUUUUAAUUAAAAUAUUUAUUUGUAAAUUUAUGAUCCUUAAUUAAAGAUUAGAAGAUUGAAUUACCUUAGGGAUAACAGCGUAAUUUUUUAUAAAGUUCUUAUUGAAAAGAAAGAUUGCGACCUCGAUGUUGGAUUAAAAUUUAUUAUUGGUGUAGAAGCUAAUAAAUUAGGUCUGUUCGACCUUUAAAAUUUUACAUGAUCUGAGUUUAAACCGGUGUGAG